rnacentral:rRNA from 1 species
UACAGAGGUCUCAAGCGUUGUUCGGAUUCAUUGGGCGUAAAGGGUGUGUAGGUGGCGCCGUUAGUCGGGUGUGAAAUUUCGGAGCUUAACUCCGAAACUGCAUUCGAUACUGCCGUGCUUGAGGACUGGGAGAGGAGACUGGAAUUUACGGUGUAGCGGUGAAAUGCGUAGAUAUCGUAAGGAAGACCAGUGGCGGAAGGCGGGUCUCUGGACAGUUCCUGACGCUGAGGCACGAAGGUCAGGGGAGCAAACGGG